rnacentral:rRNA from 1 species
CGGCAACAGCUCAGAUUUGAAAUCGGCCACCCGGUCGAGUUGUAAUCUGUAGAGGAUGCUUCUGGGCAGCGACCGGUCUAUGUUUCUUGGAACAGAACGUCAUAGAGGGUGAGAAUCCCGUAUGCGACCGAAGCGCACCCUACACGUAGCUCCUUCGAC